ensembl:lncRNA
AACUUACUGCCUGCAGUUGAAGAAAAUUCUGGAAAGCAUCUGCAUCUUGUUCUAAAGGAAACAAAAGAAUGCACUGCUGUUAUUUGGUGGCAAGGGGAGAGGCUGGUGCGAGGGAGAGCAGGGGGAAUGACGACACGGCUGAGUUACUUCUCCAGUGACCCCACUGCUGGGUGGAGGCAUGACAGGGAUGACACCUGCCUCCCUGCCCUCCUGCAACAGCAACCACCUCCCAUUUACUGAGCAGCAGGGCAGGUGCCUAGGACAGUGCUACCCCUCAUUCUGUCCUUAAGUGGCCUUGUCGGAAAGACACUGUUAUCAACAUCAUGUCACCGAGUCGGAGAAGUGGAGCAUCUUGUCCAAGAUCACACAGUUGGAAAAGGGCAGAUCGGGGACUGGAGUCCAGAUACGCCCGACUCCAGAGCCAGGACUCUGCACCCGCCUUGUUGCUUCAGUGACUCAGCAAAUAAAAGCAAAAGCUCAGUCCCAAGUGGGAGAAAGAGGGCAGGGCAGGCUCACACCCAUCGCUCCUGCCCAGAGCCAGGCUGCCAAGACCAGCAACAGGCACGCAAACUAGGCAGAACCCUGGGGGAGGCAGACAUCUACAUCUAAG